rnacentral:lncRNA from 1 species
UGAAGACCAGACUCUGAUCCCUGACUUCCAAAGAAUUGGUAUUGGCAAACUGGAGUAAUUGCAGAAAGGACUACAGGUAUCGUCAGGACACUGGAACUUCAUGCUGAAAUUCUUUCAGAUUUCAAGACAAAGACUAUCUUCGGCACUUCAAAAUUACAGUCACCGCGCAAGGGCAAAUAGCAAAACCAGAGUUCCAGUUGGCAAACACGAUCUUCUGGAGCAUGUAGCUGAUCACUAUACUGCAGGCGUUAAGUAUUGACUCAGUAUGUGUGUGGAUAUACUCCCUAACAGUAGCUGAAAUAGCACAUUGUUACUAUGCAAGUCCCUGAUGGAAGGAAGGUAUCAAUAAGGGGGAAGCAGAGAAGACAAAUAGUGACAGGAUUUAGUGAGGGUAAAAAAAUAGAGCAAUCAGCUUUUUGGCUGCUAUGCCUCUGUUUUGUCGAUUUAAGGGAAGAAUUUUGACAAGAAUGUGAUCUCUGCUCAAAACAUCAUGAUAUUUUGUGUGCCUGACUUGCCCUUUGUACAUGGAUUCUAUAUUCCAGACUUCUUGCUAUGAUGAUAUAAGGGUUUAAUCUUCUCCCUGAAAAACAGUAAUUUUAUUUAAGGUGUUCAUUCAACAUCCGUCUUGAUUUUUCUGUGGUUGUUAUACAGUUUCAAAGUCCUUCCAUUUACGUUCCUUGUUCUAGGAAUGCUGAGCACUACUUGUGUUUUGGUGACAUCUUCUGGAUAAGGUUGCCACUGGAAGGAGUAAUUAAUAUUCACCACCAACUAACCUUCUUUGUACUUGUUUCUGACCCAUUCUGGAAAAAUUACACAUCUACCCUCUUCCGGUGAUUAGUAUCCUAUUUGAAAUUUAGUAAUGGGUUUGAGACUCCAAAGUGAAAGAUGAAAAUGGAGCUGAUUAGAAAUACAAACAGAAGCUGCUUAUGUGGUGCUUCAUGGAUGCAAUGUGGUCUUUUCUCUUGCACUUGGAUAAUAGAUUUCUUUAAUUGUAUUUACGCAUCUCGCUAUUUUUCUUCUUAGGACAGGUCUGUACUGUGCUUACUGUUGGCUAGACUAACCAGAGAAGAAGAAAGGCUUUCCUUGGUUACAGCAAAAAUACCCAUAACCAAGCUUCCUGCCUUCAGCAGCAGAUGCUUAGAGGAGAGGAUAAAGGGCAGGGUAAGCUAGGACCAAUAAUUCCCAGAACAUAUUUCUAGCCACAGGCAGAAAUGCUGUGUGGGGACUUUGACUCAGAGGUGGUAACUUGUAUAUAGUAG